UGUAAGUAACAUCUGCUCAAUGACCUUGUUUAAAUAGCCGCGGAAAUUUAACUGUGCUAAGGUAGCAUAAUCAUUAGCCCCUUAAUUAGGGGCUCGUAUGAAUGAUGAAACAAUUCAGUUACUUUUUAAUUUAAUUUUUUUGAAUUUAAAUUAAGAAUCAAAAUGUUCUUAUGUUUUAAAUAGACGAUAAGACCCUAUUGAACUUUACUUAAGUUUAGCUGGGGCAGCUAAAAAAGAAUAACCUUUUUUAUUUUUUAUUUUUAGAAGACCCAAUAAAAUUGAUUUUUCGAGCAAGUUACCAUAGGGAUAACAGCGUAAUAUCUUUUUAAAGCUCUUAUUUAAGAAGAAGUUUGCGACCUCGAUGUUGAAUUAGUGUGACUUAAAGAUGCAGUAAUUUUUAAAGUAGGUCUGUUCGACCAUUAAAACACUACAUGAUCUGA
rnacentral:rRNA from 1 species